UUUCCGACAUAUUAUUGGCAGGUUAACGCGAGGAGACAGACAUGGGACUCACGCAAUCCUUGAAUGUUCUGUUGGUCAGUGCAGCGUUUGCCUUCGUCCUGUCCAUGCUCUUUAUUUGAGCUGGCCGGCCGGGGUGUGACGACUGGUAGUACCUGAACUCCCCUGAUCAAUCCGCCAAUGAAAAAGCGCAUGUCCCGCCCGACAUGCGC
rnacentral:sRNA from 1 species